GGGUGCGAUCAUACCAGCACUAAUGCACCGGAUCCCAUCAUAACUCUGCAGUUAAGCGUGCCUGGGCGAGAGUAGUACUAGGAUGGAUGAUCUCCCGGGAAGUCCUCUGUUUUACCCC
rnacentral:rRNA from 1 species